AGCUUUAAAGAACCAUUUACACCUAAUGCAUAAACUUAAUGAAUCAGGUUUACUCAAAAUUGAUAUAAGUUUAAUCCUUAUAGAAAUUAAAAUAGGUUUCAUAAAAAAAAAUGUGACACAAAAAUAUUCUUUUGAUACAUAUAAAUAGAUGUAAAUGUUUCAAUAUAUCUUUGUAACAUAGAAAAACACAUUUUGUAGUUCUAAAUCUAA
rnacentral:lncRNA from 1 species